rnacentral:tRNA from 1 species
GGGCCGUUAGCUCAGUGGCAGAGCAUCCGCCUUUUAAGCGGAGGGUCGCAGGUUCAAUUCCUGCACGGCCUA